UACGUAGGGGGCAAGCGUUGUCCGGAAUCAUUGGGCGUAAAGCGCGUGUAGGCGGUCCGGUAAGUCCGCUGUGAAAGUCGGGGGCUCAACCCUCGGAUGCCGGUGGAUACUGUCGGGCUUGAGUACGGAAGAGGCGAGUGGAAUUCCUGGUGUAGCGGUGAAAUGCGCAGAUAUCAGGAGGAACACCAAUUGCGAAGGCAGCUCGCUGGGACGUUACUGACGCUGAGAAGCGAAAGCAUGGGGAGCGAACAGG
rnacentral:rRNA from 1 species